GCUUGUCUCAAAGAUUAAGCCAUGCAUGUCUAAGUACAAGCCGCUAGUUCGGCGAAACCGCGAAUGGCUCAAUAAAUCAGUUAUGGUUCCUUAGAUCCACUCCAUCCUACUUGGAUAACCGUGGUAAUUCUAGAGCUAAUACAUGCGCCCAGACCCAACUUUUAGGAAGGGUUGUAUUUAUUAGGUACAGAACCAAUGCAAGCUCCGCUUGACCUUUUGGUGAUUCAUGGUAACCGAACGAAUCGCACGGCACCAGCUGGCGAUGGACCAUUUCAGUUUCUGACCUAUCAGCUUCCGACGGUAGGAUAUGGGCCUACCGUGGCAAUGACGGGUAACGGAGAAUUAGGGUUCGAUUCCGGAGAGGGAGCCUGAGAAACGGCUACCACAUCCAAGGAAGGCAGCAGG
rnacentral:rRNA from 1 species